CACAGACACAGAUGGCCAUGAUUGCAUGGCCCUGGCACGAGGCCAUGCAGAUAAUCUCGAGGCUAUUGUGCAGCAUAUUUAUUGAAGGAUUUAAAACCAUUCAGAGUAUAAACAGGAAAUGAUUCUUUUUUUUUUUUUUUUUUCUAGUCACUGCUUUUAACUGUAUUUUGUCAACUCACUAAUCCCAUUAGAUCUUGGGUUCUUUAACAUCAGGACCAGAUUCUAGAUUUCACAACUCAGUCAUUACAGUGGGCUCACAUUUCGUGUUCUAGGUCCAAUCUUUUCGUUGGUAAAAGCUGCAGCUACCAGAGCCUGGCUUGCCUCUCUUCCAGAGGAGACCCAGCUUUUGCAAGCAACUGUGAUCACAAUUUGUCUUCGAAGAGAUUCAUGGAAAAGACUCCAGCAAGUACAGUUUUCUAAUAACUUUGAGAUCACACCAUCGGCCUGGGUAAGAAUUUCUAGAACUCUAAUGAAGAAAUUGAUUGGUUUGUAAAACUGUUAACCCAAUGUCGGGCAAAACAAAAAUUGAUUGGAUGGGACUAAAUGAACUGAUGAAGAAACAUGAUACUUUAAAAAAUUACCUUUGUUCAAACAUUGCUUGCU
rnacentral:lncRNA from 13 species